GAUGAACGCUAGCGGCAGGCUUAAUACAUGCAAGUCGAGGGGUAACAGGUGUAGCAAUACAUGCUGACGACCGGCGCACGGGUGCGUAACGCGUAUGCAACUUACCUCUAACUGGAGAAUAGCCCCGAGAAAUCGGGAUUAAUACUCCAUAACAUUUAUCAUUCGCAUGUUUGAUAAAUUAAAGCUCCGGCGGUUAGAGAUGGGCAUGCGUGACAUUAGCUAGUUGGUGAGGUAACGGCUCACCAAGGCUGCGAUGUCUAGGGGUUCUGAGAGGACAACCCCCCACACUGGUACUGAGACACGGACCAGACUCCUACGGGUGGCUG
rnacentral:rRNA from 1 species